UCUUGUGUACAUACCUACAACAUAGCACUAAUGCAACAAAUCCCAUUAUAACUCUGUAGUUAACCUCACUCAGGAUAGAGCAGUACUGAGAUGGGUGACCACCCGAGAAUUCCUAGUGUUUCACAUGCC
rnacentral:rRNA from 1 species